CACGUAGGGCGCAAGCGUUGUCCGGAAUUAUUGGGCGUAAAGAGCUCGUAGGCGGACUGUCACGUCCGCUGUGAAAAGCUAGGGCUUAACCCUGGCCUUGCAGUGGAUACGGGCAGACUAGAGGUAGGUAGGGGAGAAUGGAAUUCCCGGUGUAGCGGUGAAAUGCGCAGAUAUCAGGAAGAACAUCGGUGGCGAAGGCGCUCUGCUGGACCAUAACUGACACUCAGGGACGAAAGCUAGGGGAGCGAAUGGG
rnacentral:rRNA from 1 species